AGCUCAUCAAGCGUAUAUUAAAGUUGUUGCAAUUAAAACGCUCGUAGUCGAAUUUUGGGACGUGUCUUCUUUGUACUGAUUUUCAGUUACUCUGAGACCGACCUUUUUCUUGGUAGACCUACAUUGUGGGUAAGUCAAGACUUUUACUUUGAAUAAAUUAGAGUGUUCAAAGCAGGCAUUUGCUUGAAUACAUUAGCAUGGAAUAAUAGAAUAGGACUUUGGUUUUAUUUUGUUGGUUUUAGAACCAGAGUAAUGAUUAAUAGGGACAGUUGGGGGCAUUAGUAUUUAGAAGUCAGAGGUGAAAUUCUUGGAUUUUCUAAAGACUAACUAUUGCGAAAGCAUUUGCCAAGGAUGUUUUCAUUG
rnacentral:rRNA from 1 species